rnacentral:rRNA from 1 species
AGUCGAACGAUGAAGCCCAGCUUGCUGGGUGGAUUAGUGGCGAACGGGUGAGUAACACGUGAGUAACCUGCCCUUCACUCUGGGAUAACUCCGGGAAACCGGUGCUAAUACUGGAUAUGACUCCAACCUGCAUGGGUAUGGGGUGGAAAGAUUUAUCGGUGGAGGAUGGACUCGCGGCCUAUCAGCUUGUUGGUGGGGUAAUGGCCUACCAAGGCGACGACGGGUAGCCGGCCUGAGAGGGUGACCGGCCACACUGGGACUGAGACACGGCCCAGACUCCUACGGGAGGCAGCAGUGGGGAAUAUUGCACAAUGGGCGAAAGCCUGAUGCAGCGACGCCGCGUGAGGGAUGACGGCCUUCGGGUUGUAAACCUCUUUCAGCUCUGACGAAGCCUUYGGGUGACGGUAGGAGCAGAAGAAGCACCGGCUAACUACGUGCCAGCAGCCGCGGUAAUACGUAGGGUGCGAGCGUUGUCCGGAAUUAUUGGGCGUAAAGAGCUUGUAGGCGGUUUGUCGCGUCUGCUGUGAAAGCCCGGGGCUUAACCCCGGGUCUGCAGUGGGUACGGGCAGGCUAGAGUGUGGUAGGGGAGACUGGAAUUCCUGGUGUAGCGGUGGAAUGCGCAGAUAUCAGGAGGAACACCGAUGGCGAAGGCAGGUCUCUGGGCCACUACUGACGCUGAGAAGCGAAAGCGUGGGGAGCGAACAGGAUUAGAUACCCUGGUAGUCCACGCCGUAAACGUUGGGCGCUAGGUGUGGGUCCCAUUCCACGGGGUCCGUGCCGCAGCUAACGCAUUAAGCGCCCCGCCUGGGGAGUACGGCCGCAAGGYUAAAACUCAAGGAAUUGACGGGGGCCC